rnacentral:rRNA from 1 species
AAUCAACGCUGGCGGCGUGCCUAACACAUGCAAGUCGCGCGCGAAAGGGGGGCAACCCCCAAGUAGAGCGGCGAACGGGUGAGUAACACAUCGGAACGUGCCCAGUAGUGGGGGACAACCUCGAGAAAUCGAGGCUAAUACCGCAUACGACCCACGGGUGAAAGCGGGGGACCGCAAGGCCUCGCGCUAUUGGAGCGGCCGAUGUCCGAUUAGCUAGUUGGCGGGGUAAGAGCCCACAAAGGCGACGAACGGUAGCUGGUCUGAGAGGACGACCAGCCACACUGGGACUGAGACACGGCCCAGACUCCUACGGGAGGCAGCAGUGGGGAAUUUUGGACAAUGGGGGCAACCCUGAUCCAGCCAUGCCGCGUGCGGGAAGAAGGCCUUCGGGUUGUAAACCGCUUUCGGCCGGAACGAAAUCGCCCGGGUGAACAUCCCGGGUGGAUGACGGUACCGGAAGAAGAAGCACCGGCUAACUACGUGCCAGCCGCCGCGGUAA